UGGAUCCCAUAAAGGGAGAGCACAAAGGCCCCAAAGCCACAGAUGCUCAGGGCUGUCCCCUGCAGCUGCCCUUGAACCCUAAGCAGAAAUAGUGGACACAGAAGGUGUCGUGCCACCAGCCAGAUGCCCUGGGCUGAGAGAAGACAGAUGCUGACUGAGUUGGGGAGCAGCUUUCUACAAUGUCGGUGAUCCGUAUGUGAGGACAAUACACUGAGAUUAAGCACUGAGGGGUCCUCAGAUCCUGCAACACCAAUGAAUGCCUCACCUCUUCUGGUCACUCUUACCGUGCGUGCGUGCGUGCGUGCGUGAGUAGGAGGCUCUAGAGCUCCCCGGAGAUGGUCAGGGCAUCCCAGGGGGUGAAAUAGAGGUGGGGGUUUCCUUUCCGUUCCAGGUCCUUCAAGCAAAGAAAAUCAGCAUAGUCUGUCCUUUGUUGGAAGGACCAGUGGGGGGAAAAACAGGUCAUCACACACACACAUGUUCCUCCCCAACAUCCCAUCACUGCAUGGUCAGUGCAAAGGCUUUGGGGUAGGAUUGGAAGUCAGAGGAGAGCUUUCUGAUUUCAUUCAGGAAAGCUUGUCUAAAACUGGGCGGAGUGUCACCCUUUUCCAGCUGCCUGUCAGGGUCACAAAGGAACAACAAAAGCCAGUUUUUUUGUUGGUGGUGGUGGUUUUGUUUUUUUUAGUGGAAAACGAGACAGUCAGCACAAUAGAAAAGGAAAAAGGAGAAGCCAACAUAGGAGGGGAGGAGAGGUCACAGAGGGCUGUUCCUGCAGGGAAGGGCCCAUUUCACCGUCUGUAUGUGGACAAGGGCUAGAAGAAUGAGGGAUUCAUUUCACGCUUGUCAGGUUCAGCCCACUUUACAGCUAAAGCACAUCUCUAGUCAAAUGGCAACAGCUCAGCUAUUCUGGGAGCGGGGGUGGGGCAGGAAACUGUCUAAAAUCUUCCCCUUUCCCAGCAUUUGGGGAAAAUAAAGGAUUGAGUAAAA